CCAAAUGAUUUCUUUUGAAAUUAUAUUAAAACAAAAAACAUUUCAACUUCUCAAUUUUAAAAGAUAUCUCAAGAGUUCAAAUCCUUGCUCUCCAAAUGAUUCUUUUGCAACUAUAGAAAAACGAAUAACAUUUCCACUUCUAACGACAAGAACAACACCAUGGUCUAGUAGUGCUUCUAUUUCACAAUUUUAAGAAGAUAUCCCAAAAGUUUGAAUCCUGUUCCCUAAAUGAUUAGGCAAAAAAAAAAAAAAUUAUAUUUGAGAUUUCAGGCUCAGCCAUCCAUCCUUUCAUCUGGUCCGUAGAAAUAGAAAAAAGUCAAACUUUAUAGGCUAUAGCAAAUAUAAACACUACUGCAAACCGUGGCUGGUACUAGGAAGUGGAAAAAAUUUCCCAAAUCCCAAACUGAACUGAAAAAAUUCCGAUCUCAAAUAAAAAAUUUUCCAAACCAAAAUUCUCAAAAUUUUUGGGAUGCUAUUCCAUACCGAUUCCGAAAUUUCGGUAUGAGAUUUGAGAUUGUCUUCUCAAUAUUUCAAGAAUCUCAUACCAAACCGAAAAUAUAUAUUAUUAAUUAUUAUAUAUAUAUAUAUUUAAACAAAUAUAUUAUAUAUAUUUUUAAUUAUAGUUAGAGUUAAUUUCAACCAUUGGAUUGUUUCAAAUUGAUCUGUGCCGUCCAUUCAUUGUUAGGGUUCUCCAGCUCUGAGUUUUCUCCGUUCAUCUCAAUUUUGAAGCAUUUAGGACUCCACGGAAUUCUCACUCCAGACCGAAAAACGAAGAUCUACUUAGCUUGCUCGAAUCAAUCUGCAAGUUCAUACCUCAGGACUGUGAAUCUGGAGCAAACUUUGCUUAAAUUUAGUCGGUUUAGUUUAAUUGCGCUUCUGUGUCUCUGUACUUCAUAUUUCGGAUACUAUUUUUUGCAUUUUUUGCGGGAUUGAAGAAUGUUAAUUUAGCUGCCUGCUGUUCAUUGUCAAAUGGGUAAAAUCUGUAGUUCUCUGUUAUCUCUUUUGUAUGGGGUGGGGUUGGAUCUACUUUAGUUACAGUGACUUUGUAAAUUAGAUUUGUUGUGAAAUUAUGCGGUAAAUUGUA